rnacentral:lncRNA from 1 species
CCGAAACAUCACCUAUGACGGUGGGAAAAAUAUAGGUAAAGUCUUAAUAGUCUUUCUCGCAAUCCAUGCUUGAACUUUAUACCUAAUAACCUAGGAGAAUAUGUUUCAAUUAAAAAAAAAGAAAAGAUAAUAGAUAUAAAGGAGAUACAGUUUGAUUGAAAACGAGAAAACUAUCCACCAAAGUUAAACAAAAGUGGACUGAAGAAAUGAUAGACCACCAUUCGUCCUUCAAAAAUGAGAAAACCCAUUACCGUAUAGUAGGCUAUAUCAAAAAGCCUCGAAAUGAAAAUGUGAAAAAUUUCAAACUGGAAACUUAUGCCUCAAUAAUAUUAAACUCAUGUUAAGCAUACUGUUGAGUGCCCAACAACCCCU